CACCGCCCGUCACACCAUGGAAGCCAGCUGUACCGGAAGUCGGUGCGCCAACCCGCAAGGGAGGUAGCCGCCUAUGGUAUGACUGGUGACUGGGGUGAAGUCGUAACAAGGUACCC
rnacentral:rRNA from 1 species